rnacentral:rRNA from 1 species
UUAUCGGCGGACGGGUGAGUAACACGUGGGUAACCUGCCUGUAAGACUGGGAUAACUCCGGGAAACCGGAGCUAAUACCGGAUAGUUCCUUGAACCGCAUGGUUCAAGGAUGAAAGACGGUUUCGGCUGUCACUUACAGAUGGACCCGCGGCGCAUUAGCUAGUUGGUGGGGUAAUGGCUCACCAAGGCGACGAUGCGUAGCCGACCUGAGAGGGUGAUCGGCCACACUGGGACUGAGACACGGCCCAGACUCCUACGGGAGGCAGCAGUAGGGAAUCUUCCGCAAUGGACGAAAGUCUGACGGAGCAACGCCGCGUGAGUGAUGAAGGUUUUCGGAUCGUAAAGCUCUGUUGUUAGGGAAGAACAAGUGCGAGAGUAACUGCUCGCACCUUGACGGUACCUAACCAGAAAGCCACGGCUAACUACGUGCCAGCAGCCGCGGUAAUACGUAGGUGGCAAGCGUUGUCCGGAAUUAUUGGGCGUAAAGGGCUCGCAGGCGGUUUCUUAAGUCUGAUGUGAAAGCCCCCGGCUCAACCGGGGAGGGUCAUUGGAAACUGGGAAACUUGAGUGCAGAAGAGGAGAGUGGAAUUCCACGUGUAGCGGUGAAAUGCGUAGAGAUGUGGAGGAACACCAGUGGCGAAGGCGACUCUCUGGUCUGUAACUGACGCUGAGGAGCGAAAGCGUGGGGAGCGAACAGGAUUAGAUACCCUGGUAGUCCACGCCGUAAACGAUGAGUGCUAAGUGUUAGGGGGUUUCCGCCCCUUAGUGCUGCAGCUAACGCAUUAAGCACUCCGCCUGGGGAGUACGGUCGCAAGA